UCCAGAUGGGUCCCCUCAAGGGCAGAGCAGAGGGGGGACAAUAGCCUCCCUCCCCUGCUGGCCACCCCUCUUGUGAUGUAAACUAGGAUACUGUUUGGCUUUUAGGCUCCUUUGCAUUGAAGAAGGAAAGGAAUGAUGUUGAGUCUUCAAGCUGGAUGGUCAAAAGCGGCACAAAACAGCAGCUAGCUGUGACUCUUGAUGUAAAUGAAAUCUUCUGCAGUCAGAGAAAGCAAGUUUCCUGUGGUCCUUCAUUCUGAAACCAUCCAUUUUCAGUAAUUUAUUCACAGGCAGUCUCUGUUGCAGGGGGGUUGCAUUUGUCACAUCACCUCAAUUUUUCUAAUGAGUUGUUAAUGAGAGGUCAAUUACUUAUGGAAAUUAGGAAAAUAUUCAUUGAGGAACUGUACUGAGUAAAGUGUGCUACUUCAUAAUGUUAUGAUAUAAAUCAUUAAAGCUUUAAUGAUUAUUUUACUCUUUUUCAUGUUCAAGCUCAUUCCUUGCCUUAUACAGUUGCCUUAAGAUGAUUUUGAAAUGAACUCAAGUGACUCCCCUGAAAAUGUUACCAUGCUGUAUUUUCUAAUAACUGCAGAAGAAUGUCUCUUGUUAUUCAACAUUUGCUCAUGCAUCAGCAUCUUGCUUUGAAAUCUUCAGUUGAAUAUAAGCAUGUUAGGAACACAAGAUGUGCCUCCAGAGCAGUAACCUGUCCUCAACCCUGGAUCCACUUUUGAUGCUACGGGAGAAAACAGCCAUCCCACAAAGGCCUUGGCUCAAAUUGUGACCUGCAAAGCAGCCUCCCGACUCCUGUUCUGUACAACCAGGUAAGCAUCCACAGCCUGCAGCAUAUCACUCCCCAGAAUUAGUGACUUCCGCACUGUAUUCUUAGUGAAAAGUAUUCAGGAAUUGCUGACUGGUAAGACAAAAUGUUUGUCUCACAACUUUCCCUCUUCCCAUGCACCUAUUUUGAACGCUUUUAAGGCUUUGAAUGAAUGGUAUAAAAACACAGAAACAUAGUCCAAAAAAAAGGAUCCAAGGGACCAAGACGAAUUGUGGCUCAGUUGCAGAAUCAUGCAAUUAAAUGGAGAGGCCAGGGGUGUAAUUCACUGCUGAAAUUCAGCUUUGUGCUGUCGUAAGUUAUUAUUUCAGAGCAGAUGCUGAAAUGGCCAGAGAGGAAAGUGUACAAGCAGAAGUAUAAUUGGACUUCAGUAUUUCAUACUGACGUCUUGAGAUUUCCACAGCUAAGCACAGUUUCAGAGUCCAACCAGGGUAACAAUGCAGAGAACAAAUGUAAGAUCUCCCAUAUUCAGCCCGUUGGAUUAUUCCAUUUCUCCUGCAGGCACUGUAAAUCAAAAGCUAAAGAUACCCCGUUAUGUUGUACAAGACAGCUUCGUUGGCCCUUCUUUCCAAACACGUUCUGAGCACAUACAUGUUAUUUUUAUCCGAGUCUCAUUCAUUUCGGUUUUACUGUCUGGAAUUCAGUGUUAAAUUGGGAGAAAGAAGGAAAGGAGAGAAAAAAAAGAUCAGGCUUUGAAACCAAGUAGUUAACCACAGAGAAAGGAAGCGGCAGCCAGUUAAAGAGUGAACGCAUCACAUGGAUGUGAUUUUCUCAGUAUCUAAAGACUUACAAGGUCUGUGUCACUUUGAACCAGGCAUGGGCUGGAUGCGGGUGAAGCCCUUGUUGUUAUUUAACUUAGGAGUGCUUAGAACCCAACAUUUUAGUGUGAGGAAAUCCAUUGUGCUUACUAGGGGAUAAAUCAUCUGGUCCACAGUAUAGUCCUGCCACUUACUGUUGAUAUCACCUCGGAAAGCACUCACAUUAACAUCUCUAACUCCUUUCCUUCUCCUUGGAAGGAGAAACACAUUAACAACACAGAGGUGUCCAAGUACUAAUCGAAAAGCAAUACAAUACCAUCAGAUCUAUGAUGACAUAAAGAAGAAACGAGUAUGAAUCUAAGUACCUUCUCUUUAUAUCACAGCCUCUACAUUGUUUUCAGGAGCUUUUUCUGUGUGUCAUGCAGUGAUGAAAGGCUGAGAACAAAGUGAGUGAAAUUUCCUUUUACUGCUUAAAAAUUCUCAGCUGGUUCGCUGUAUCAAAAAGCUGUCUCUUUAAACAAAUCACACGGUUAAAAAUGCCAAGUUAUAAUUCAGCAACUAACUCAGAAAAUGACAAUUUAAUCAAUCAGAACCAACCCUCCUGAAGAAAAAAAAAAAGAAGAAGCAGAAAAAAAUCUUCAGGCUUUCGCGCAAUGUGAGAGCGGCUGAAACUAUAAAAAGGUUCAAUCACUGUAGAACAAGCCUGCAGCAUCAAUGUUUAUUAAAGUCAGGGGAGCCAUUUAUUGACCUGGGAAAUAGCAAACCACCAGCAGCACCGCCAGAUUGCAUUUUUAUAGUUAACAAACGGAAGGUGAUAUUUUCCUUUUCUCUUUUAAUUGUGAUUCCAUCAAAUCCAAAGCGCUGAAAGCUGCUCGGUUUUUAAAGGAUUGCGACGAGAAGGAUGCUCUGCUUCAUCCUGCAGUCACUCUCUCUGCUCUGACUCCUAGCAAUGAGAUAUAUUAAAUCAUUGCAUCACAGGAUCAAAUUUUUAGGCUUAUCAGAACGACAGACCUCUGUCUGCUCCCCACUGCACUUCAGGUGAUGGUAGGAAAUAGGGAGCUACCAUUAUCAAGCUGCUUCCUUCUGUAAUCAAAAAGGAAUUAUUGUAUUUAUUCACAUAAAGGUCAUCCUGUCACUGGGACAGCCAAAAGCACUUAGAAUUAAUUGUCUUCUCCCAAACUGACAACUGGCACUUUAUGUUUUGAUCAAAGCACAGCUUGGUUGUUCUGGAGAUUCUGUAACUUUUGCUACACGUCUUUAACUCACACCUUUUCAGACCGCAUACAUUGUGGGCUAUGUAAGGCUAUGAAAAGGAAAGCAACACAAUAUGAGUUGCCCUACCCACGUUAUCUGAGCAGAGCUUCAUUCUCUGCCCAACCAAUGGAAACUUUGGGGUCAGCAAGGCAGGGAUUGAAGUCACUCUGUGUGUCAGCUGCCACCUCCACGGUACCACUGCCAGAAAGUGGACUUCAAAGGCUGCAAGGAUGAGUCAGUGCAGCCUGAUCUGCCAUGCCACAUGCUGCAGCUGAGAGCUGUGACAAACCCACGUCCUCUGAGCAUUAGGUACAAAGCGAGCCGGCCAGCAGGUUAUACAUGCAUGCAUCAAAGGGAAUGAAUAUGGUAACAAAUCUCCGGCCACCCUGGGCCAUCGAAGCUGUCAAUACGCCGCAUGCAUUAGCGGGAGCAAGGGAGAUAAAAACAAAGUCUCCUUGCCUCAAAACCACACGUCUCUGCUGCUCAGAGUAUUUCACACUGCUUCUGAGCAGGGCACCAAGGUACAGAAGCACGUUUCUGAUGCCGCUCAGUCCCACGUGGCAUUCUGCAUUAUUCUUUCAGGUUUGCAAACACACCUGCGGCAGCUCUACACCUUGUUUUCCUUGUUCACAGAGAAGAACACAUAACGUCCUCGCUGGCAGCACGGCGGAGGAGUUUAACACAAGUUAAUGACUCACCUGUCAGACUAUCAGAGUUUUGAUACUUGCAAGGGAAAGGAAAAAAAAAAAA